rnacentral:rRNA from 1 species
GAGCCGCGGUAUUAUGACCGUGCAAAGGUAGCAUAAUCAUUAGUUUCUUAAUUGGGGACUGGAAUGAAUGGUUUGACGAGAAAUUAACUGUCUCUUAUUAAUUUUUAGAAUUUAACUUUUAAGUUAAAAGGCUUAAAUGAUUCUUGAGGACGAGAAGACCCUAUAGAGCUUUACAUUUAUAUUUUAUAUUUUUUUUAGUUGAUUUUUGAAUAUAAUUUUUUUAUUGUUUGGUUGGGGUGACAUGAAGAAUAAUUAAACUCUUCAUUAUAAAAUCAUUGAUUUAUGUUUAUUUGAUCCAUAAUUUAUGAUUAUAAGAUUAAGUUACCUUAGGGAUAACAGCGUAAUCAUUUUAGAGAGUCCUUAUCGAUAAAAUGGAUUGCGACCUCGAUGUUGGAUUAAGAUUAAUUAUGGGUGUAGUAGCUUAAUAAUUAGGUCUGUUCGACCUUUAAAUUCUUACG